CGAAGCGACGCCAAACUAGGAAUUUAAAAAAACAUCGAUGUAUCGAGCAACAUCGAUAGUCAUGGCUUCAAACAUCGAUGUUCGUCGACGCGACAUCGAUAUUUUCGAUGCAUCGAUGCUUUUCGGCAUCCCUAGAAACAACCCUGCGUUCAAAAGUGGUGAAUAAUUGGCUGCUGCUGUUUUUCUGUGAAAAUAGUUAUUUAUUAAAAUAUUUAUAGAGAACAAUAAAACCUAUCAGAGCAACCUAAAAUAAAAAUAAAAAUAGUGCAUCGCUAAAAACUCCCAACUAGUGAAAGCUAACUACCCCUAAUUACAGGUGGAUUACAAAAUUGGUUGAAGCCUUCAACUUGAAUGUUUAUUUACAUCGAUAAAAUCUAAAGAAAGAUAUUCGUCGUAAGUACCCAAACGCUGAUAUUUAAUACAUUUGUGAAAUAUGUACAUAUG